UACGUAGGUGGCGAGCGUUGUCCAGAUUUACUGGGCGUAAAGGGCGUGCAGGCGGUUUGUUAAGUGCAGGGUGAAAGCCCUCGGCUCAACCGAGGAAGUGCGCCCGAAACUGCAGAGCUUGAGUACCGGAGAGGAUGGCGGAAUUCCCCAAGUAGAGGUGAAAUUCGUAGAUAUGGGGAGGAACACCGGUGGCGAAGGCGGCCAUCUGGACGGAUACUGACGCUGAGACGCGAAAGCGUGGGGAGCAAACAGG
rnacentral:rRNA from 1 species